rnacentral:rRNA from 1 species
UACGGAGGAUGCGAGCGUUAUCCGGAUUUAUUGGGUUUAAAGGGUGCGCAGGCGGCGUGUCAAGUCAGCGGUAAAAUGUCGGGGCUCAACCCCGGCCGGCCGUUGAAGCUGGCGUGCUCGAGUUGGAGAGAAGUAUGCGGAAUUCGUGGUGUAGCGGUGAAAUGCAUAGAUAUCACGAAGAACCCCGAUUGCGAAGGCAGCAUACCGGCUCCACACUGACGCUGAGGCACGAAAGCGUGGGUAUCGAACAGG